rnacentral:rRNA from 1 species
GACGAACGCUGGCGGCGUGCUUAACACAUGCAAGUCGAACGGUGAAGCGCCUUUCUUUUUGGGGGGUGUGGAUGAGCGGCGAACGGGCGGGUAACACGUGCGUAACCUGCCCCCUUCUUCUGGAUAACCGCACGAAAGUGUGGCUAAUACGGGAUAUUCUGGGUCUGUCGCAGGAUGGGUCUGUGAAAGAUAUUGUUUCGGUGGGGGAUGGUCUCGCGGCCUAUCAGCUGGUUGGUGGGGGGAUGGCCUACCAAGGGGGUGACGGGUAGCCGGCCGGCGAGGGUGGCCGGUCGCACUGGGUGAGAGCCACGGCCGCGACUGCUACGGGAGGCAGCAGUCGGGGAUGGUGCGCAAUGGGCGGGAGGCUGCUGCAGGGACGCCGCGUGAGGGAUGGAGGCCUUCGGGUUGUGAACCUCUUUCGCCAGUGAAGCAGGCCUGCCUCGUUUGUGGGUGGGUUGACGGUAGCUGGAUAAGAAGCGCCGGCUAACUACGUG